rnacentral:rRNA from 1 species
CCCUUAGAUGUUCUGGGCCGCACGCGCGCUACACUGACGAUGGCAACGAGUUUUUCCUUCGCCGAAAGGUGGGGGUAAUCUUUUGAAACAUCGUCGUGCUGGGGAUAGAUCAUUGCAAUUUUUGAUCUUGAACGAGGAAUUCCUAGUAAGCGCGAGUCAUCAGCUCGCGUUGAUUACGUCCCUGCCCUUUGUACACACCGCCCGUCGCUACUACCGAUUGAAUGGUUUAGUGAGGACUCCUGAUUGGCGCCGCCGCCCCGGCAACGGAGCAGCGGACUGCCGAAAAGUUGUUCAAACUUGAUCAUUUAGAGGAAGUAAAAGUCGUAACA